rnacentral:rRNA from 1 species
GACGAACGCUGGCGGCGUGCUUAACACAUGCAAGUCGAACGGAAAGGCCCUGCUUUUGUGGGGUGCUCGAGUGGCGAACGGGUGAGUAUCACGUGAGUAACCUGCCCUUGACUUUGGGAUAACUUCAGGAAACUGGGGCUAAUAUCGGAUAUGAGCUCCUGCUGCAUGGUGGGGGUUGGAAAGUUUCGGCGGUUGGGGAUGGACUCGGGGUUUAUCAGCUUGUUGGUGGGGUAGUGGCUUACCAAGGCGUUGACGCGUAGCUGACCUGAGAGGGUGACCGGCCGCACUGGGAGUGAGACACGGCCCAUAGGCCUACGGAAGGCAGCAGUAGGGAAUCGUGGGCAAGGGAGGAAAGUCUGACCGAGCAGCGCGGCGUGAGGGAAGAAGGAUGCCGGGUCGGAAAAAUCGGUUGGUGGUGAAGAACGUUGUUGAGAGUGGAAAGCUCAUCAAGUGACGGUAACGACCAAGAAAGGGACGGCUAACUACGUG